AUGUGUUUUCAGGUUAAAGGAAAUUCUUAUUUUUUAUUUUGGAAAAAUACGUCCUUAUUAGGAAUCCAAGGUAGCUUCUUGAAUAAAGUUGUGUUUCAAAACACUUUGCCAUGUUUAAAACUGUGCUCAACUUUCUUGGUGUUUACCCAGGAAGUUCAUGCCACUUCGCAGGUCACAGAAAGUGACCUGAGCUCUUUACCGUUGGCAUCCAAAGGGUUCUGUCCAGUGCUCAGAAGAAUGCCAUUUCGUUGCUAUUUCAGCCCAACAGACCUACAGCAGCUCGUUUACAGGAUCCCCUCCUGGGACUUUAGAAAGAAUCAUGACAGAUGUUUUUUCAUGGAGGAAGCUCUGAUACGUGUUUGAAGACCUUUGAAGGCAUGUUCCCAAUUAUAAAACUUAAAACAAAUCAUAAUUAAUAUCCACUAUUUCCUCUUCUAUAAUUUAUCUUGUGCACUGAAACAAACUAUUAAAUUAUGACUUGAAAAUAUUUUAACACUUUGGAGAAGAUCUCACAUCAUUUUAGGAGUGGACCUGCCUGGGACAUACUCACUCCUGUCUCAAUAGGAAGCCACAUAAGUUUCCUUCCACCAUAAGUAUCCUCCACAUCACGGAGGAUAUGCUACAUUACUCAGAGUCUAUUGAUUCAAAUGUUAAUGACAUGCACCGUAAGUUUCAGGCACCAUAAGUUUCCUUCCUUAUGAAAAACUGCUUCUCGGAGAUCUAAACUACCUCUUACCUCUUAAAUCUUUUGAUAAAUUAUCUAAAGUUUGAAACAACAAAGAGAGUAUUGAAAAGUGUGGGGGACAGUUUAGAGAGGAUUUGUAGGUAAUCUCCUCAUGUGGUGUCCCUGAAUUCCAAAUAGAAAUCAUAAAAAAGUGAUGCUAUCCAAAGUCAGAUGCUUUUAGCAACUGUGUAAGAGUGAAAGGCUACACUAUUGAUUUACAACACUGGUUUACCCUAUCUUCAUCUUGACUCUACACAAUAUUGAAGCCGCCAUGAAAUAUUGUCUGAAACCUAAAGAUUGUACUACUGACCCUCAAGAUCUACGUGAGUGUGACUAGGCUGUCAGAGAUUUAAAUCGGCUUGUGCAUAUUUUAAAGAUUUCUGUGAAACUGGUUAUUUUGGCAAAGGGUAUUGCUAAAUAUGUGAAAAAUUGGUUAGGCAAUGCUUAUUGACUAGAGUGUUUUACUAGUAAACCGUUGACAUUUAAUGUUCAUUCUUAGACUUUACUCUGCACCGCCACUUGUGCUUAUGGGCCAACCUGAUGCUGUGUUAUGGCAACUUGUCCCUGCAUCAAGUAUUGACUUGUAGCUUUGGCUGAUAUCCACUGUUUUGGUCCAGGAAGUAGUGGAGGGUACACACA
rnacentral:lncRNA from 1 species